AUUUUUUGGAAAAAGAUUAUGAGAUUGUGAAGCUGGAAAUAAAUAGGGUAAGUUGAAAUAUUAAGAUUAAUGAGUUUUUGGUGGAGGUGAUUUGAAUGUAAGAAUUGUGUAGUUUUGCUGCUAUAACAAAAGAGUUCCUGUUUUUUUUUUUGACAGAGCAAGCUAUUCGCUUCGUUCAUCUUUUAAAAAAAAAAAAACUCAGCUAGAAAUGUAAAAUAACGUAGGAGGGGAUGGUGAAUUGUUUGCAAUU
rnacentral:lncRNA from 1 species